CUGAUGUAGCGUAAUUCAGUUAUAAAUUGAUUUAGAUUUCUUUUUAAUUCAACCCAUUUUCUUAAAUUCGAUGUAUAAAACUUAAUGGGUUUCUUCAGUUUCGUAUUUUUAGUUCAUUGUUUGUGUCUUAAUUUGAAUUGAUGGUGUUAAUUUGAGUUGAUUGAAAUCGGUGGAAGAAAGUUCUAACCCGAACUUGGUACAUCUUUUUCUUAAUUAAAAUCCAGAUAAUCAAAGGAUAUGCUGAUCAUUUGAGAUGAAUUAAUAAUCGAUGAUGUUAAUUUGAUCAGCACCACCUUAACCAGGUUACUCAGCUUUUCGAGUUGACCUUAUUUGUUUAUUUAUUUUCAUACGUAUUAUUACUCUGCAGGUUACCCAGCUUGAUAUCCACCACUUUUUUCAUUCACUUGGAGCUGGAGUACUUGAAGAAGUUCGUGUCCAAUGAGAUAAAGGGUUUGGUUUUGUGAGAUACAGUACCCACGAAGAAGCAGCUGUAGGCAUUCAGUUGGGGAAUGCUAACAUGCUUUAUGGAAAGACAAUUAAGAAGGCAAUUGAAUGUAGGAGGGGGAUGUGAUGCUAAAAAUGAAGGGAACAAACCAUCUCAACAUAUCAAGUAUGACUGACAGCAGGCACCUCAUAAUGUGGUGUAGCUGAGAUUGAAUUCUAAUAUCCUUGAGAUCAGAACGUUGAGAUUCUUUUAAAAUGUAAUGGUCGUGGGGAGAUGUCAUUUUUGAGGGGAAAGUCAACAGCUACAACUAUUGAAGUUUAUGGAGGGGUGAACAGUAGGGUGUCAAACCCAUUGAUGAAGAUCAGAUGAUUCAGAUCCACUAUAGUGUCUUUAUAUCUAGAACUGAUUUCUACUUUUAGGUUAUGUUUUAUGUAUUUUUGUUUUAAUUAGAUGGAAUGGAUAAUGUUUUCUAUGAUAUACAGUUUUUAAUGAAUUUAAGUAAUGUUCAUUGGAUUUA